rnacentral:lncRNA from 1 species
UGCUAGCUGAGAGCCAUUGCAUUUGCAAAACCCUUCUACCUAGACAGCCACUGGGCGUCAGUCUGGGCGAAAAUCAGACGCAUUUACUGCUCCAAUCUCCUGGCUUCGUCGGACCGUCACCCGCCUCCACCAGUCUGACCAUGGCGCGACCGCUUCAUUCUUCAAAUUUCAAACCCUAACCCAAAGGUCAGUCUUUUUACGAGACUUAUUUCAGAUUUCAAGUUUCAGUCCGCCAGUUCCAAUCCUGAAUUCUGCACUUUUGAUUUCAGAUUUGUGAUUUUUAAUUUGUUAGAUUUACUUUGGGAUUCACCAAAAAUUCAAAAUAGGGGCAGCGUUAUUAGGCAACUGUGAGAUCCUUAUGUUAAUUUUUAAUUGAUAGUUGGGGUUGCUGAACUUCCUCUUUUCAGUUUAAAGUUUGAAUUUUUUAGCUUCCUUGUGAUAUUCGUUUAACUUGAAUUGUUCUUGUUUAAGGUAUUUUGGAUGGGAGGAGUUAUUCUUAAGUACCUUUUGGCAGCCUCAACCACUAGCGGCACAGCAAUUGGCCCACUCUCUGCAAUUAUAUUCACAUUCUUUCCUAUCGCUCCCUCCUUGAACACCUACAGCAAGACUGAACUAAUCAUCAUUAUCAAAUAUUUUCAGUGAUUAAUAUUGGCACAUUACCAAAACAAGAAUUGUUAAGAAAAGGUAAGUAACAUAACAAAAAUUGCAAUAAAAAUCAAAUUUCAAAUUUGUUACCAAGAAAGUGAUCGAUUGAAUUGUAUUAUUAUUAUUAUUGGUGGUGGUGUUGUCGUCGUCGUUGUUGUUGUAGUAGUUGUAUUGUUUGAAUACCAAAAUGCAGUUAUACAUUAACUUAAAUUCUCAGUAUCGAACGGGAAGAGAAAUGAAGUAAUCAAAAUUGAGGUUUAUUGCAAUAAUAGGGCCGUAACGAAAAUUACACUUGGAUUUGGAUUUGAGAUUUAUUUGUGAUUUUUGAUUUAUGAGAUUUAAUUUGGGGACUUCAUAAAAAAUUUCAAAAUAGGGGCAACAUAUUAGGCAAUUGUGAAAUCUUAUGCUUAAUUUUGAAUUGAUUGUUGGGGAUGUUGAACUUCCUUUGUUUAAGUUUGAACUUGUUUAGCUUCUUUAUGAUAUUUGUUUAACUUGCAUUAUUUUUGUUUAAAGUAUUGUUGGACGUGAGGAAUUAUUCAUUAGUAUUUACCUCUGUUUUUGUUUAGUUCAAGGUAUUGUUGGGGUUGUUGAACUUGAAUUGUAUUUGUUGCUUUUGUGCCUGUGUGCGUGUUCUAUUAGGAAGAUGUGAAGUUUGGUAUUUAAUUUAUAUUAUUAUUUUGUUUGUGAUGUGAUGAUUUACACCAAUUGCAUUUCUGAUUUUUUUUUUCCUCCACAACUUUUGUGCAAUUUUGAUUGUGCCUUCUAACUCAAAAGUCAGCAAGGAAGGGAAACACCGAAAUGCUUAUACUCCACAUUUUGAUCUCUUGCCUGCAGUUAUGAUGGCAGUUAUUGCUAUACAUAAGUCGAUGGCGCCGUUAAUGACUGGUGGAGGCAAUGGCAGUGCUAGGGUAGUGCAAGCUGCAUGUCGUAUUGGCGAAGCCAUUGAGCAAGAGGUUUGGCUUCUCGAGUGUUCAUUUCAGUUUUCUGUCACAUAGUUUUGAAUUUUAUUCACCUUAAUGUUGGAAUUAUUUCUGACAUGUAUGAAGUUGAACAUUGAUCGAUGAGGACUUAAAUUUAAAUGAUGAUUAGGCUUAUUUUUUAAAUUUCUUUUCCUAGAAUAAGAAGUAUGGAUCUUUGUGAAAUAGAAUAUCAAAAAAUAUAUUAUGCUAAUUGGCUCUUCAUUAAAAUUUCUUAGUUUCCUUAUUAUUUUUAAUUUCUUGCUUUAGAAGGGAAACAUUAUCCUCUGAAAAACUAGUGCUGCAUACUCGAGAAUUCUUUUCUAGCUUCUACAAUGAGCUUGAGCAGAAAGAAAAAAAUUAUUAAUUGGCUUUCCUGCUUUCGCCACCUUGGUGAUAAGUGACACCCUUCUUGGAAGCAAGUUAAUUCUCUAUAAAGGUCAAAGAUCAUUUUUUGAUUUUGCUUUUCUUGGUGAGAAGAUUGACACGGUCUUCUUAUUGGUGGAAAACUUCAUCUUUAUCUAGCAUGGUAUUGAAGUGACCAAAGGUUUUGAGUUACAAUAUAACAAAAAAUGUGCAAAUGUCACGCAUGUGAUGAAAACAUAUUCAGUCUACAUGGAAGGGGCAUGAAACAAAAUUUAACUAAAUAAAAUUUUUCCAUCUCUAAUAGCUUAAGCUUUUAGUUUUACAUGAUAAGUUCAACUAUUGUAAACUUUGUAGAUUAGAAACUGAAGAAACCCCGGAAUUAUGGGAUUAUUACUAUUUAGGAAAUAUUUUUUUAUAAGUUUGUUUGGUUAUUUAGAAGAUUAUAUUCCCUUGCCCCUCUCUUGUUGUAUUAUAUAUUGAGGCCCCAUUUGUUUCCUAUUCUUUUGGUCUCAAAAAUGAAAAAUAUGAUCGUUAUCCAUCACAUCAAGCCACCAUAUUUGAUUUCCUUUCUCUUGUGUGGGUCCCGUAACGACUAUAUUUUUCAUUCUCGUUCUUAUUAUAAUGAGAAUCAAAUGGGGGGAUGAAUGUUUACCAGUGUAAGAAUCUUCAAGGAAUAAAGAAUUCACUAUUUCUCUUCCUCUUUGUACAUGAUAUCAGAGCCCAAGUUUCUCUAAACUCGGCCAUCAAUGGCGGAAAAACGUGGUCAAUAGCAAAGAUUCAAUGACUUUUGAGUCCGUGACUAACGAGACAAAAACUGCUCCCACCACUUCAUCCUUUUAACUUAAGGUGAAAAAAGUUCAAUGGAAGAAAUUACAGAGAGUGGGCCCAAUUAAUUAAAUUGGUGAUUGACGGGAAGGGUAAAAUUGGAUAUCUUACACGUGACACGAAGCAGCCUACAGAUGCAAACCUCCAAAAGAAAUGGAAAUCUGAAAAUUCUAAGGUGAUGCCUUGGCUUAUAAACUCCAUAAAACCCUCAAUCGGUAAAACUUAUCUGGUAAUGCCCAUCUCGAAAGACAUAUGGGAAGUUGCUCGAGAUAAGUAUUUCGACGCUGUAGACUCAUCCCAAAUUUUCGAAAUUAAAGCCAAAUUAUGGCAGACGAAGCAGAGGGAAAGAGAGAUCGUCAAUUAUUACAUGGAGAUGAUGAGCCUCUGGCAAGAAUUGGACUUGAGCGUCGAAGAAGAGUGGGAUUGUGCUGGUGACAGUGUGCGGUACAAAAAGUGUCUGGAGAAUGAAAGAGUACAUGAAAUUUUGGCUGGAUUGAUUAGAGAAUUAGAUGACUUCAGAGGCUAGAUUCUUGGGCGUCGACCGUUGCCAUCUUCACGUGAAGUGUUCGCAGAGAAUGGACAAGUGAAAAUUUGUCUCCAGACAAAGUUGAAGAAAGAAAUUGGGCCUGCAAGUUUGGAUGGGUCGGCCUUUUUAAGUAAUACAAUUAGGCUUGAUGGAUUUUAUGGUAUGCCUGAAGGAAUGGCUGCCAACGCUAAAAAAUAUUUUAAUGAGCCCAAAAUUGUUGGGCCUAAUGGGCAACCCAAUUAUUUAGAGGAGCAACAAAAAUAGACUUGGACAAAAACAACAGAAAGGCCGCCCAUGAUGUGACCAUUGCUGAAAAUCUGGAUACAAAGAAGAUACGUGUUGGAAUUUAUGCGAAACCAACAGAUUGGAAACCAAGAUAGAACGCUAGAAAUCACGGCUACCAAGCGGCACUUGAUUCCACCGAAGAAAAAAAUUCUACUCUGAGUGGUGCAUUCAAUCCUGAACAGAUGAUUCGCUUUACAAAAUGUUCUCCAAUUUCCAAAUAUCUGGCCCAUCAACCAUGAAGCUCAUUGGCCCAUAAAAUUACCUGAGAGAUCUAUACACCAACACACUCUCCGAAGUACCAUGGAUUAUAGGCUCCAGUGCUUUCGAUCAUAUGAUGGACUCCCACUAUCUGUUUUUUACGUAUUCACUGUGCGUUGGUAAUCUUAAAGUCAAAAUUGCAAACGGCAUACUCUCUCCAGUAGCUGAAAAAAGGGAGUAUUCGGAUCUCUAAUUCAAUAACACUCGAACAUGUUCUCCAUGUCCCGAACUUGUCUUGUAAUCUGUUGUCCAUUAGUUAAUUAACGAAAGAUUCAAAUUGUUCUACUAAUUUUUUUUCCCCUUCUCACUGUCUUUUAGGACCUAUCAUCGGGGAAGACGAUUGGCAUUGCUAAAAAGUGUGAGGGACUCUACUAUUUUGACGAAACUGAUUUGAGUAAAUAACGUCAAUUUGCUAGUUGUGAUUUUGCGAUUGUCCCUAAGGAUAGUGACAUUCUUUUAUGGUAUUAUAGAAUGGGUCAUCCAAUCUUUCAAUAUUUAAGACAUGUAUUUCCUUCAUAUUUCUGAAUAAAAAACAUUUUGAUCAUGGUUGUGAGAUUUGUGAACUUGCAAAAUAUCAACGUUCUCCAUUCCCAAAAUUCACAUACAAACCUUCCAAACCAUUUACCACAAUUCAUAGUGACUAAUGGGGACCUUCACGAAUUGCUAAUCACACCCACAGAAAAUGGUUUGUUACGUUUAUCGAUGAUCAUACCCGAAUUUGUUGGGUCUAUAUGCUAAAAGAAAAAAGAUGUCCGUUCAGUGUUUAUCAAUUUUCAUUCAAUGGUCCAAUCCCAAUUCCAGACACAUUCAAAUUUUGUGCACAUAUAACGACACAGAAUAGUUCAACACUCUAAAAAACUAUCUUCAAGAAAAUGGGAUGACCUAACAAAGCUCAUGUGUCGACAAUCUUCAACAAAAUGGGAUUGCUGAACGAAAAAUAAACAUCUCCUUGAAGUUGCUCAUGCCUUAAUAUUUACUACAAAUAUGCCAAAGACAAUAUGGGGGAUGUCAUUUUAACAUCAGUCUACCUCAUAAACAGAAUGUUUAGUUGUACCCUCAAAUUCGAUUAUCUUCUCCAGAAAUUCCUCAAAAUUCUUCUGUAAGACCGUAACUCUUCUUUUAACUCCAACUUACCUCAAAAGUGUUUGGAAGUACAGCCUUUGUUCACAUAUAGUCCGAUCAUAGAAAUAAAAUUGACCUUGUGUACUUCAGUGUGUAUUUAUCGAAUACUCACCCACAUAGAAGGGAUAUAAAUGUUAUGAUCCAAUCAUAAAAAAUGUGUUUGUUAGUCUUGAUGUCACCAUGUUUGAGAAAACUCCUUAUUUCUAAAGAAUUUCUCUUCAGAUGGAGAAUCUAUGUAAAAAUCGAUUCUUGGAAAUCGCUCUCUCUUUCUGAAUCUAUCCCAAACGCCGAACCUACAACACGUCCUUGUUCUAACAUGCUAUCUACAAAAGACAACUUGAACUUAGGGGGAGAUGAGAAAGAACAUGAUAAAGAGAUAUUAAUUUACUUUAAAAAGUCAAAAUCAAGGUAUAAGAAAGAUCUCACACUCGAAGUACCAAGAGAGUCGGAACCGAUGAUGGCUCCAAAUCUUCAUGAAACCUCGCCUGAGCCCUCCAAUGCCGAUCUUCUUGUUGCUCUCAGGAAAUAAACUAGGUCAUGUAUUCUUCGCCCUAUCUCAAAAUUCAUAGUGUAUAAUGCUUUAUCCACAAGAUUUUGUACUUUUGUCUCUAACCUUGAUAUUGCAGAAAUUCCAAGAAAUAUUCAGGAAACCUCGGAAAUUCCCAAGUGGAAAGAAGCAGUAAUGAAAGAAAUGAGAGCCUUAGAUACUAAUGAAAUUUGAGAUGUGAUGGAGCUACCUAAAGGAAAGACUUUUUGGCUGCAAAUGAGAUUUUAAUGUGAAAUAUAAAGCAGAUGGAACAAUAGAACGGUACAAAAUUUGUCAAGUUGCUAAGGGACAUACUCAGACCUAUGUCAUAGAUUAUACAUAAACUUCUGUAUCUGUUGCAAAUUGAAUACAUUUCAUGUCCUGUAAUCACUAGCAGCAAAUAUGGAUUUGCCAUUACAACAACUUGACAUUAAGAAUGCAUUCCUGAAUGAGGAGUCAAAAGAAGAGCUCUUCAUGACACUAUGACCAGAUUUCUAAAAAAAAAAAAAAAAUUUGAAGAAAACAAGGAAUGUAAACUCAAAAAGUCCUUAUACCACCUCAAUCAAUGACCGAGAGCAUGUUUUGAUACAUUUACAAAAGUAUUGAAUAGUUAGGGAUAUUGACAAGGUCUGUCAGAAUACGCUAUGUUCUUUAAACUAUUUGAAGAUGGGAUAAAGACUAUUCUGAUCGUAUACGUUGACGACACAAUCCACACUGGAAGCAACACAAUCGAUAUAGAGAGACAAAAAGGGUCUAGCCUCAGUUUGAAGUAAAAGAUUUGGGACAAAUGUUGUAUUUUCUGCGAAUGGCCAAUCAAAAUAGGAUAUCAGUGUUUCACAACGAAAUUAUGUUCUAGACCUCUUAAUUGAAACUGAUAUGCUUGGAUAUAAACCAAGUUACACUCCUAUAGAUGCUAGAAGAGAGGCAGAUAACAUAGAAAAAUCUGUUAAGAAGGAUAGAUAUCAUUAAUUAGUUGGAAAACUAAUCUACCUAUCGCACACUAGACUUGACAUUGCAUUUGUGGUUAUUAUGGUAAGUUAACAUAUGCAUUCUCUAAAUGAAGCUCAUCUGGAAGCAGUAUACAAGAUUCUGAAAUGCCUCAAAAGGUUCUUCUGAGAAAGGACUUUUGUCAUAAAAGGGUGAAAAGAGGGAAGUAGAAAUAUUCGCUGAUGCUUGGCCUGGAUCAAUAGAAGAUAGGAAAUCAACUAUUGGCUAUUGUGCAUUCGUGUGGGAAAAUUUAGUGAUCUGGAGAAGUAAGAAACAGAAUGUUGUAGCUAGAAACAGUGUUGAAGCAGAAUUUAGAGCAGUUUCGCAAAGGAUUUGUGAAGGACCUUGGUUAAAGAAGUUCUUGGAAGAAAUACAAGUUACUGUAAAAUUUCCAAUCAAAUUCUAUUGUGAUAACAAAUCAACUAUUAAUAUUUCCUUCAAUCCAGUGCAACAUGAUCAAACUAAAAACAUAGAUGUGGAUAUGCACUUCAUCAAGGAGAAAGUUGAAGAUGGAACUAUUUAUAUAACCUACAUCCGUACCAAAGAACAAAUUGAAUAUGCAUUCACAAAAGGACUAUAUCGCCAUAAUUUUGAUAAUUUCAUCAGCAAGUUGGACGUGAUUAACAUUUACUAUCCAGCUUGAGGAUGAGUGAAGAAAUCUCAAAAUUAUGGGAUUCUUGUUAUUAGUUGUAAUGGUAUAAUUGAUUACUAGUUAGGAAAUAGUUUUUGUAAUAGUUUGUUACUUUAUUUAGAAGAUUAUAUUCCAAUUUUUCCUCACCCUUGUAUUAUAAAUUGAAUGUUAUACCAGUGUAAGAAUCAUCAAGGAAUACAUAAUUCACUAUUUCUUUUCCUCUUUCAACAGAAACGAUUUUCUACAUUUGUCUCACUGUCAAGAUUAUCUCAAAAUAGUGGAUUAGAAACUUGAAAGGAAUUCCCUGUCUGUAAUUCACUAAUGGUUACUAAUUUUAAAAAAUGGAAAGCUGGAAAGAUUGACCAUUAUUAGCCUAUGAUGCACCGCUAUGAACACAUAUGUUUGACACGAUACGUGUUGGAUACGUCGACACGCAAUUUUUCAAAAAGGUGCUGACAUGAUGUGUCUUUGCACGUUGAUUAAAUUCUUUAAAAUNUUUUUAUUUAUAUAGUAUAAAUUUAGUUUUGUACUUGUUAUUGAUUUUUCUUGUUGAAAUCUUUUAAAUGUAAGUACAUAUUUAUUGUUUACUAAUAAUUUUGAGUUAAAACAUAUAAUAUUUUUAAUAAAAAAGAAAUAUUUAUGGCAGAGUGUUCGAGGAGUAUUGGAUAUGAACAUGCUAUCCUAGUUGAAGUGUCCGUGCUAUAGAGGUAUUAGCUAUCCCUGGGUUCCGAUGUCUUGGCUGAGAUGUUUUGCCCUGCUUUGGGGGUGAGACCAAACUUGCUGUCUGACUGUUCACAAAUGACCACUAAGAUGAGGUGAUCUCAUAUUCUAUGGGUCAUAGACAGGAUUGAGGGACGAGGUUUUGAGAUUUUACUUCCCUCAUAAAGUAAUUGUUUUUAACAUGGUGGAUUUUAAAUGGAAGUUAGGACAAUUCCAUGCAUCUUAGUAUGGGAGAUUGUGUUCUGAGGUUCGUAUUUCCAAGUGAAGUCCACUUUUGGGCUAGAAAAUAUUAUGUUCACUUUUUAUUUAUUUAAGCUCCACUACAUGUUUAGAUUGAAUCUUAAGUCAUAAUGAUGACGUACCUGCUAUAAUAAAUUCUAUGCUUUUUGUUUCUUGCAUAAGAGCCAUUAUAUAUGGCUAUGAAAUUUCCAUUUCUGUAAUUAAAUUUUCUCUUAUUCUAACUGCUUAUUUGUGGAUGAGAGUUCAAUAAUUAUUACUAUCUUUCUUAAUCAGGCCAGAAUACUCAGGUUUAUAGAGAAGACCAAGAGGAAGAAUGCAGUAAAUAAAAGUUCUGAACAACCUGAUCCUGCAGUGAAGGAACAGGAGAGACUAAGAAAGAAGGUCAAUAUUUUCAUGAAGAAACAGGAAUUGCACCAAGUUAGGAAAAUAGUGAAACAACAAGAUGAUUUCAAGCCCUGGGGCCACGAUGCUCAAGUAAAGGUUUGUGGUUUGUAAAGUUGGCCUGCAGCCUAUCUCUUUCGCUUGAGUUAACACCCCAACCAGCAUUACCAAUGGUUAUUUCCUAAUCACUUGUUGAAAAUAGUAAUCUAAUGCGGAAACAUUAUGCCCUGUUUGAUCAUCAUUUUCUUAAAACUCACUUCUUAAUCUUUCUUCAUGUUCAAAUUAGUAAUCUAAUGGGGAAACAUUAUGCCUGGUUUGAUCCUCAUUUUCUUAAACUUAUUUUGAAUUAUUUUUGAUGGGAUUUACAAUUUUUCAAUAAUAUGUAUUUUAUCAACUUUUAUCAAAAUCUACUAAAAUUCUAUUUUUUAACAAAAUAGAGCAGGGGCUAUAUGUCAUUAAUAUUUUCUCUAACUAGGGAUUUAAAAAUGGAACAAGAAAUAUAUAUUAGAAAAACAUAAAUUUCUCUAUUUAGGGUUGUGCUUAGCAUUAUGAUUUAUUAUUUUACUGUUAUCUUCUAUUUUUGUUUAUUUAAAGAGAAGGACAAAAUCAUUGUUGAAUAGUCAAAAUGAAGAGAGUAACGAAUUUGGUUACAUCAUUGAAAGUUUGUAGAUGAAUUAUGUUAAAAACAAGGUUGAGUGGAAAUUUAUUACAUUUUACAAAAAUUAAGGGAUGAAAAAGUGCAAAAUUUCCAAAAUUAAUAUACCCUGUUAGACACUCUUAACGUUUUUCUUAAACCUUAGAAAGAGGAUUUCCCGUUUCUAUCUCACAAUGAUCAGUGUUUGAUUACCCAAGGAACGGCCACGUAUUUUAAUAUCGUUCUUCUUUAUCAAAUGCCAAAAAAUUUUCUCCACUGUAGCCGCUGUAGCGGAUAACCCAGCAGAAGAAGCCGUUUCCCAAAUAUCCACUCACUUGAACUCUUGUAGUAACAAUAACAUUAAAGUCAAUUUCAACACGCUUCAUGGUGAUAAUUGGUUUGAAUAUGUAGCUUCUAAGAUGGAAUCUGAAGAAAUCGGUCCAAUCAUCAAUAAACUUUGCGUCGAGAGUGCGGAAAAUGCAAUCAAGUUUUUCUUGUUGUUGCAGAACGAGCUAGGAGUGAAGCAUUUGCGGGUUUCGCAGUUUGUUAUUGCCCAUAUUUUGGCACGGAACCAGCGUCCCUGUGCGUUGCAGAGUCAUCUGCACCAAGUGCUUCUAGAAGACGGUAAGUUUUGAUUGAUGGAAAGUUAAUUAAUAUAGUCUUUAAAUUGCACGAGCUUGCUGAACUGAACAGAAUUAGAUUCUUCCCCUUCUUCAUUUUCAAAUUUUUUUUUUUCCCUCUUCAAAAUGCUGGUUUGAGUUCUGAAUUCUGCUUGUGUAGUUCUAAACAGGGAUAUGAAUAAUUUAUAAUUGUAAAAUUUUCAUUUAUAAUUGUAGUUGUUUGUUCAAAAGUUUUCAUUUUUACUUCUCUCCCACCAUGGUACUUGCGACACUUGAUGUUUCUGACAUGAGAAUUGUACGAUAUAGAUAUUCACCUCGGAAAAAACACUGUGUACUGCAAAUGAAUUGGCAAAAUGUAGAAGAUUUUAGAUUUUUAUUUAUUUAUUUAUUUAUUUAUUUUAAAUUGGGCUACGUUUACAUGAAUUUUAAGUUUUUAACUGGGAAGAUGUGUGAAUGAAGGAAUUGAGUACAACAAUAUGAAUUGUUUUGUUUCCAUUAAGCUGGAAUUUUUAUACUCUUCGUCUUUUAAGUAGAAAUCUAUUUAUAUUAGUUUAGCAAGCAGUUGGGGUAUGGAAUUAUUUUAUUGCGUGUUUAGAGAAAAAAAUUGCUUUUUUAUUUUUAUUUUUUCGGGUGAAAUUGGAAACAUCUUGAUGAGUUCUGAAAGUGAGUAAAGGAGUUGAUUCUAAGAUCUCAUUGGCAAAUAGUUAAGGCUCUAUGUUUAUAUAUUUUCCUGCCACUUUUUCUUUGGAAACGUUGUAAGUUACAGAAUCCACCUUGUUUUUUCUGAUUACGUUGCUUUUUCCUCUCUAUCAGGAAAAAUAGAAUUAAUACGUGGCUGAUCCAUCUAGAAUCAAGUUGGAAUUAUAUCGACAAUAUUAAAGAAAAUUUGAAAUAACAAAUUUUGAACAUCACCGAGUUAUGACUUAGGAGUUAGGACUCUAAGGUCUCAUCAAAUGUAAUUUUACGACUCAAGAUGCUUUUCUAUUAUUUAAUUAAAUUUGGAGUUUUUUUUUUACACAAUCUAGGCAUGCAUAUUUGACUUUUCUUAAUUCUAGCUGAUUAUGCAACAAAAUCAUUUCCAAUUGACUUGGAGAACCUUUUACAUUGUUUAUUUUCGUUUCAUGUAUUUAUUAUGAUUUUUAUCAGGCUCUGGAUCUGCACCUUCACUCUGUGAGCUGCUUUGUAAUGCCUUCAGGGGCUGGGAUUCGAAUCAUAUGGUGUGGGAUAUGUUGGCUUUUGUUUAUUCUAGAUCCAACAUGGUACAUGAUGCCCUUUUUGUCCUUGCCAAGAUGAAGGAUUUGGAUAUCCAGCCUUCAAUUAUGACAUACAAUAGUUUAUUGCACAACUUGAAGAAUACUGAUAUCAUGUGGGAUGUAUACACUGAAAUUAAAGCCUGUGGGAUUCGUCCAAGUGAAUACACAAAUGCGAUUAUCCUAGAUGGUCUAUGCAGACAGUCCUUGAUACAUGAAGCAGUUUUAUUUCUGCAGGAGACUAAAGAAAAAGAGCCCCAGCCUUCUGUUGUUUUGUUUAAUACUUUGAUUUCCGGAUUCUGUAAGAUGGGUUUUGUAGAUAUUGCAAAAUCAUUCUUUUGUAUGAUGUUUAAGUAUGGAUUAUUUCCUGACGUUUAUAGUUACAAUAUUCUCAUUCAUGGACUAUGUAUGGUGGGUUCAAUAGAAGAAGCAUUAGACUUUACAAAUGACAUGGAGAAACAUGGAUUGGGGCCUGAUCAAGUAACUUUCAACAUUAUAGCCAAAGGGUUUCGUCUACUUGGUAUGAUGGAUGAUGCCGGGAAGGUUACUAAUGGGAUGCUACGUAGAGGAUUAAACAUUGAUCUUAUCACAUAUACAAUACUCAUUUGUAGGCAUUGGCACACGGGCAAUGUUGAAGAAGGUUUUAGGUUGCGAGAGGAGAUGCUUUCUAGGGGGCUUCAGCUUAGUAGUAUCUCAUAUAGUGUGUUGCUUAGCAGUUUGUGCAAGAAUGGACGUAUGGAUGAAGCUCUGAGAUUUCUUAGUGAGAUGGAAAAUGCUAGUUUAAUACCAGAUCACGUGAUGUAUUCUAUCAUCAUUAAUGGUCUUUGCAAGAUGGGAGAAGUACAAAAGGCUGUCCAGCUUUAUAAGGAGAUGUGUCCGAAGAAAAUCACCACAGAUUAUGUUCAAAAUCGAUCUACUCUAUCAAGACUAUGCGAGAAAGGGGGAAUAUCAGAGGCAAGAAGUUAUUUUGAUAAAGUGGCAAAUAGUAACUUGGUGGAGGAUAUUGUCUUGUACAACAUUAUGAUUAAUAAAUAUGCCAAACUUGGUAAUAUUGGAGAGGCAAUACGGUUAUAUAAAAUUGCAAUGUUGAAAGGUAUUAGUCCUACUAUAGUCACAUUCAAUUCCCUAAUAUAUGGGUUCUGCAAAACCGGGAAACUUGCUGAUGCUAGGAACUGGUUAAAUAACAUCAAGAUGCAGGGUUUGACGCCUACUGUUGUUACUUAUACUACCCUCAUGAAUGCAUUUUGUGAAGAGGGAAAUUUAGAAGCCACAUUUGAGUUGUUUGAGGAAAUGGAAGCAAGUUCUGUGCAUGCAAAUCGAGUAACUUACACUGUGGUUAUGAAAGGGCUAUGCAGGCAAGGGAAGCUGAAAGAAUCUAUCCAGGUUCUCAAGAAAAUGAUAGCUAUGGGUAUGUCUCCAGAUCAAACUUCUUAUAAUGCUCUCAUUCAGUGUUUCUGUAAGGCUCGGUACCUAGAAAGAGCAUUUGAAUUACAUAACAAGAUGUUACAACAUAAUCUUCAGCCUAAUUAUAUAACAUAUAACAUUCUCAUUAAUGGUUUAUGUGUUUAUGGAGACCUAAAGGAUGCUGAUGAACUCUUUUCUUCUCUCAAAGACCAAAAUGUCAGAUUGUCAAAAGUUGCCUAUAGUACUUUAAUAAAAGCACAUUGUGCGAAGGGUGAUGUUCGGAAGGCAAUGGUUCUCUUCAAUCAAAUGAACGACUUGGGGUUUGAAAUUUCUAUCAAAGAUUACAGCGCUGUGAUCAAUAGACUUUGCAAAAGAGAUUUAGUAGAUGAUGCAAAGCUUUUUCUUCGAGUGAUGUUAGUUGAUGGCAUUUCCCUAGACCGACAAAUUUGUUCGGUUAUGCUUCGUUCAUUAGACCAAAUUGGUGAUUUUAGUUCCAAAUUUCAAUUGUACGCAUUGAUGAUCAAAUGUGGCUUUUAUCCAGGUUGAAACCAUUGGAGUGAUAUUUUGUGAUUCUUAUUAUUGGUGGCUCUCAGUGUUGGUCUUAAUGCAGCGGAGAAUGUCUAACACUCAAGGCAAUGUUAUCGUUAAUUGUUCACACUACAGGCACAAACACCCUCGAGAGAGAUGAGGGAAGGGAAAAUGUCAGUGGGUACGCCGUUCUCCUCCACAGCCACCGACCAAUUAAAACAAAUUAAUGGUACCCUUGAUGAAGGCACCGACAGUAUUUACUAUUUUUUUUACUUUAGAUUGUUGUUUGAUUGAAAUUUUUAUUUUUUAUUUAUUUUUAUUUUUUAAGAGAGCUCGUGAAAUGGGAUUGAUUUCAGGUUAGUCAAUUGUUGGACUCAAUAGUUCAGAGUUCAUACAGCCACAAGGAGUUUUUCUUAGCGAGCUUGUGAGGUGCUCUCUCUUAUUAUUUUUUUAAUUAUCUUUUUAAUUUUUAAUUUUACUUUAGUUUGUUGUUUGAUUGAAAAAUGUCAAAUUUUUGGUUCCAACUAGGAUUAUUGCUCAUAUUUUGGGUUUUUAUAGUAAGGAUAUUUUUUAUGUGACUUAUUUUUUAUGUGCAGUAAUGCAAGUGAUGCUCUUGAUAAAUUGAGGUUUUUGAGUGUGACUGAGCCCGCCUUACUUGGAGGUGCUGGUGAGCUAGAGAUUCGUAUAAAUUUUGAUCCAGAAAAUGGGACCAUCACCAUGACGUGGGUGCCUUAAUAUUGUUUCCAUUCGAAGUAGUUUAUAAAGUUGCUUAGUUUUUCCGUGUUUGCAGGGAUACUGGUAUUGGAAUGACAAAAGAUGAGCUUAUAGACUGCCUUGGAACUAUUGCUCAGAGUGGCACUUCUAAAUUCUUAAAGGCUUUGAAGGUAUCUAUUACUAUCAAUAUCAUAUCCACCGUAUUUAUCUAGAUUUAUCAUACUUAGACUUCGCAGUUUGGCAAACAGCUUGAUAGGCCUUUCUAAGAAGCACCGAUACUUGUAAACUUGUUACGUACCCGUAUCCGAUACGUCGAUACUCUCUGAUACACUUCGAUACGUACCGGAUACUUGUUUUUUAAUUAUUUUUAUAUUUUUUACAUAUCCGAUACGUAUCCCAUACGUAUUUUUUAAUUAUUUUAUAUUUUUUGUAUGAUUUUUGAUAUGUAGCCGAUACUUCAUGAUUAACAUGCACAUUCACUACAAAAUACUGCUUUGAAACUUCUUGUGCAACCUUUUUUUUCAUCUAGUGCCAUACUCUUUUGUACACUCUAUGAGAAGGAAUAAAAUAACUUCACAACGAGUUGAAGAAUUGGUUUUCAUUCGUAGCAAUUUGCGCCUUUUAUAAAAGGAUUAGAUCUCUAUUCAAAAGGAGAAUCCUAAAUGUGGGACACUACUUGAAACUUUUUUGAAACUCUUGAAGGUGUUACUCCUUGAGAUUACUAAUCUAUCAUUAGAUGAGCCAGAGAUGAAGAUUUUUAUUUUUAAUAAUAAUGAAGAUAUUGUUGUUGAUGUUGAAGGAAAUGAAGUUUCUACAAUUAAUGAUUAAGAUAAAGUAUUUUGGUAUUUUAUUUAUUUUCAUUAUCACGCUUCUAUAUUAAUGUUUUUUAAUAUUAAUAAAUUUAUGUUGAAUUUUAUAACAUAUAUCGGCGUAUUCUAAGUUUUUCAAAAAGUCGUAUCGGCGUAUCCGUAUCGUAUCGUACCUGAAUUACGUAUCCGUAUCCGUGCUUCUUAGGGCCUUUUUUAUUUCUUUUGAAAUUGACAAAUGAAGCUUUCUAAGUAGGGAAACAAGGACCUUGGGGGGAAGAUAAUGGCCUCAUUGGUUAAUUUGGUGUUGGAUAUUAUUCUUCAUUUUUGGUUGCUGAAAAGGUGAUGAUUUGUGUGCAUGCAUAAUUGAUUCAUGUUUAUUAAUAAUCCACUGGGGCCUUUAUUUUUUCCACGUGGCAGUGCCAAAAAAAGGUCCCAGAUCAGAUAAGCAAUAUGUUUGGGAAGCAAUGGCUGAUACCAGCUCCUACAUUAUUAGGGAGGAAACUGCUCCUGAAUAUUUACCACAUGUAGGAACACAAAUCACACUCUAUUCGAGUGUAUCUAUCCUUGUUUUUAAUCCAAAACUUGUUCCUUAAAUAUACAUCAUAUCUACACUUCCAUGUUGCAAACAUAGAGAUGUGUUCAUAGUUUCGAGUUAUGAAGUGGAAAUUGGGCAGAAACUCUAGUCAUACUCUGGCAGCUGCUCUAUGAAGCUUCAGGAUAAACUUUUUGGAUUGUAUUGUCAAGAAAAGUUAUUAUGAGGUUUCUUCCUUUGAAUUUGCCAAUAGUGCUAUCUUUUAAUAGAAUCAACUUAGCUUAUAUUAUUCAUGCAGGAAGACGACAAGUAUGAAUGCUCAGAGCCAACCAAGAUCCGGAGUUUGGUGAAAAAUUAUUUAUAGUUUGUUUCAUUCCUCAUUUACUCAUGGCAAGAGAAGUCGAGGGCAGUUGAAAUGAGAAUUUUUUAUUUGAUCUACAACUAAACCAAACUGGGAUUUAUUCUCGAUAGUGUCCCUCCGUGAAUCCUUUUUUCCUGUUUGUUUUUAAUUGCUACAUCCGCUAGAAUAUCCAACCUACCUAAGUCAUAUUUUUGUCUGACUGCUUGUUGGGAGAUUGCAGGCCACCCUGAUGUAGGAUCAAUGGGAUUUCAGCAGUUGAACAAUAACCAGCGGAAAAUAAGAUGAUGAUUAAGAAGAAAUAGGCAACAAGAAAGGGGGAGAAUCGGAGAGAAUGGGGGGAGAAGACUGGAGAAGAAGAGAAUAAGAGCAGAGGUUGGGGAGGAGAAAACUUUACCAAACAUUUCAUUCAUCUUCAUCAAUUCAUCAACUGAUUUUCAAUCCCAUUGCAAACAUAUGAAUAACAAAAUAAUAAACCUAAUUUGAGGGCUUUGGCCGAAUUCAUGUACAAGCCCAAUAAAACAUAGUGCCUAAAAAAUAAAUGGAAGAUAAAAUGGCCUGAUGAAACUGAUGUCCGCAUCACACCCCUUCCCCUCUCCCUUUUCUUUUUCUCUAGCCUGUGUCUUCAUGUGGCUGGCAGUUGCACAUAGUAUUAGUCUGUGAAUGCUCAGAGUUUUUGUGUCCGAAUGUGUACAGUAAAUUGUAGAAAAUGUGUGGAAAUUUAUAUCAGCUCUAAUAUGUUAAGUGGGUGUGUGGGUGUAGAUGUGGCCAUGAUGGUCAGGUUUUUCUUUAUCAUCCAGAAAAGAAAAUGGAAUAUUUACGGCGUAUAGAUCCUUAUCUUGUAAUAUAAUAUAGAAAGUUGAACAAUCAUCGAAAACAGAAAAUAAAGUAUUUAUAAAUAUAUGAAUCCUCAUCUCGUAAUGUUACUGACUUAUUUUGGCAUUACUUGUAUUAGGACUCAAUUAUUUGUAAAUCUGACUGAUCUUUAAGAUACG